AAUUGCUCUGACCACCUGCCAAAGACUCUUCAAUUCAGGAUCUCACCUUCUUCUAGUCAUACAUGGAUGGUUAGAAUCUACCCACCUACUCUUGUCUGACAAUGAGCAAUUACCUGGUGGCUGACACCUCCUUCCUCAGCACAGCCCGGCUUCUUCGGUGUGGAGAGCUGCGGAGCGGUGCUGUCUGAGAGGGGUUCCUGAUGACGGCACUGCUCUAAUAUUCCAGCGUCACGGUCUUGGUUCUGAGGUACUCGUUUAGAGCUUCCUCACCUGGGGAAGAGAAAAGCAGCUGAUGGACCACGUUCACAGUAAACAGGAGGGGAGGAGAUGCUGUACCUUGCCCUGCACGUCUUACCUGCGCUGGCUUGAGCACUAAGGUGUUGCCUGCUGCCAAGCACGCGGCGCUCUUCCACGCCAGCAUCAUCAGCGGGUAGUUCCAGGGGAUGAUAAUAGCACAGACACUGCCGGGGAAGAAAGAGACAUCCUCAGUCCUCUCGAACUAACACAAGUCACUCAGAAGCGCUCUCCUUGUCUUACCCAAGUGGCUCCUUCCUGGUGAAGAACGUUGCUAAAAAGGCUGGCACUGCAGUGGUUAUCAUGAGACCAAGAAGCAGCCAUGAGGGUAGAGAUCGCAUGGUAUAAGGACGCCCUGGCAAAGAAAGAGCAGGAACCUUUAUCUCACACACUGGACUUGAGUGCCUGCCUUUGGACUCUUGAAAGUGAGAUAAAAACAAACUUCUUAGUUGGGUUUUCUAUUAUACGCAGCCAAAUUUGAUCCCAACUGAUUCAUGACAGUAGUCUUUUAACUGAAGCUAUACAUCUGUUUUGCCACAUAAAAUAUUAUUGCUGUUACUAAUACAAUGAUUCUGAGAUGUUCCUUUUGGACCAUUCCAAAAUCAGGCUUGAAAUCCUCCUCCCUCACGUUUCUUUCAGAUCCUGUUCCAAGAAAUCUUUGGACAAAGUCAGCUAUUUGGCUUUUAAGAUGAAGUAUGACUCAGAAGACCUCAAGAUAAUGGAAACACCACCAUCUAGUGGCAACAUCUGGGAGUGCACCAACUACUGUCAUUCAAAGUUUUGAAAUUGCCUGUCAAUAGGUUUCCUUUUACACUGGUGCCAUUUUAAGUUUUCUUUCCAGUGUUCUUCCCCAUUUUCACGUUCCCUCUCUUACAUAUGUGUUGCUUAAAUUGUACUCUCUACUAUUAGCUGGCAAGUGAAUUUAGAUUAGUCCAUUAACCUCUAUAAAUCUCAGUUUUUCCAACAAUAAAAUGGGGAUAAUACACCUGCUUCAUACAGUUAUUAAGAGACAUAAUUAAAAUUAUACACGUGAAAGAGCAUUAUUGGCAUAAGGUCACACAUCAAUGAAGGCAUUAAAAAGGAAAUUUAAUGAUUUCAGAAAUUAUCUUACAUAGAGAAAUUGAUGAUGCCUAGAAAAGAAACAAAAAAUAGCAAGAGGGUAGCUUGCUGCUCAUCAUCAGUAAGUAUUAGAGAAAUACAAAUCAAAACUACAAUCAGGUACCACCUCACACGGGUCAGA